CGUCGGAAUUACCUCCGUCGUGACUUCUAUAGUUAUGUAGAACCAAACGACAGAUCGAUUGGAUACUUCAUUCCGUGUGAUGGAACUCCAAACGACGCACCUUCACGAACUACUGUGAGUCAGUUGUUUACCUUUUUCUUGAUUUGGUAUCCACACCUGAACUGUAUAUAGCGUUUAGAUCCACUACAACCGGCACCAAAACACCCAGUUGUUCCAGUCAUCUGAGUUCUCGGUUGACAGGCGGCAGGGCUGCGUAGGGAACCGGCCGUUUAAGGCGAAAGACCGUUUGACUGCUGGGCCGAAGCUGUAGUGUGGCCUGGGUACAGGAACAAAGACCCAGGUCAUCCUGGUACACGGGGGCAAACUGUCGAAUGAUGUCGUCGAACAGCCUCCUGGGCGCGGCAGGUGACCGCACCUGGUUGCAGAUGGCACUGAUUUCGACAUCAAGGAUGUCAAGCCGUUCGAGCCAAUCCAGCCCGAGAAGGUCAAGACCAGAGUUAGCGACGUAACACGUUCCUUCGAUGAUGGUGCCGCGGAAUGACGCUGAACAGUGCAGUUGUCGUCAACUGCACCGAGCCACCAGAAGCACUGGUUGCUGCCUGAGAUGUCGGGUGGAUAGGAAGGCUGCCCAGGUCUCGCCAAAGAUUCUCGGAUAUGAUCGUGACGUCUGAAGCAGUGUCCAACUGCAGGCGAGCCAAACGACCACUGAUAUGGUGGAUACGAACCCUCGCCGCUGAGCGACCUCGACAUGGAACGCGGUCAGAGGACUGUUAGAUCUGCCAACCACACACGACCCGGCUGGCUUCGUGAACUUGGAGUCCGACGCAGGCUUGACGUUGUCUGAUGUCUGUGAUUAGCAGAAACCUUCCUUAUGAUCGACCUUGUGUCAUCACUGACAGCGAUGUCGUCGGAAAGGGCAGAAUCUGUGGAAGUGCCACGCACCACAGUAGCGACAAGCUGAAUGCGGCUUCUUGGUACCAGCAGGACUGAGUUUGGUGCACCGUGUAGGGGAAUUUGGCUGGAAACUGGAUACGGUCUGGAAUGCACGGGGCGCCCGGUCGGGGUGCUGUAUCAUCGCCGAGUCGUGCUUCAGGUUGGUCAACCUUUCGCAUUCGUCAAACAUCUGUUCCACCUUGAUAUUUGGCUUUUGGUAGAUUUUAACUAGGAGUCUGGUACGGAGGUCAGCAUAGGUUGGUGAAUGCAGGCCACAAAUGAAAACCAGGCAUCGGAACUAGUCCUUUGUGAGCGAACCAAGCUUGAACCGUCCGCACUCCCGGUUUACGAUAUCAGUAUAGGUGACAAAGUCGUCUAUGCCUCGUUUGACCAACUGGAGGCACUGGAACAGAGAGUUGAACAGGGAUGGAGUGUCCCCGAAGAUUUUCAUCAGUUUCUGGACCGUGCCCGCGAAAGUUAGGGUUAACGGUAUAGCGGACGUGCUCCGCUGGGCCCGGUUUCCGGAGGAGUAGCCAAACCUUCGUAUCGUCAUCUUGCGAUGCCAGCUCCAUGGUAAACGUCUCCUCAUAUCGCUUGUACCAUGCCUCGAAGGAGACGCCAGCUUGGGGAUCAUACAGGAAUUCGGGGAUGUUCCUGGUCAAAUGAUCCACGGACGGCGGAUCGACUGACGUGGACGGCCCAAGUGCGGCAAAGCGAGUGACCAGCAUUUCCAUCAACCGGAUCUGGGACUGCACCACCUGCUUGAGAUCGGAAUCGGCAGACGUGGUUUAUAGAGAGAAACAAAAGCGAAACGACAAUCUCCGUCGCCAAUAUGUUAUGACCUGGGGGUCAAUAAUAACGAGAAAUGGCUGGCGCACGAAUAUACGAAUCACGAACACGUAGCACAGCGCUUCACGAUAACCGAAAACCCCAGAAGAACACAGAAGACCGUGACGUUUAGCCGAGAAUGUAUUUGCACUGAAACCUAAGGUAAUCUGACAGACCAGCGUCCGCGUAUAUAUAGUUUUUGAACAGCCUUGGAAGACCCCAUUGGAAUUAGCCCAUUGAAAGUGAAAUGGACCAAUCAAAGGCGGAGUGAAACGUGCGCCAGAAUUAAGUUUUAGUUCAUUGUAGCGCGAACAAAUGAAGUUCAAAGUUAUAAAUUGAUUUUUAAGGAUAUCUCAAAAGUUAAACUGUUCUUGGAGGAAAUAGACUUUCCCCAACAAGGCCCCACAUAUCGACCACUCAAGUGUGAUAACCCAAAUCUGCCUGCCUGCCUUGGUAAAGGUUGGUCGAGCGUCACUCCCGUAGUGGAGAUGAUAGUAUGAAACUGGGACAGACGCACUCUGUGGCGACCCAGGUGGACUCGAAUUCGUGUGUUAUUGGCGCAUGCUAUGGGAAAAGAAGCCAAAAGUCGCUGGGACGGUUAGCAGGAGGGACCAGAUCGGUCGCCCGCCGUUUUUGUACAGUGAGCUAUGGCGAUGUUUACUCAAUCAUAAGGGGUAUUAUCUACGGGAGAUCGGUUGUGUCAGUUGUGGUCCUGGCGGGAUUGCAGCGAAUGCUUAUUCCGGUGAACGUACUCGUGUGAAAAAAGGUAGUGAAAAAUACAAGGUAGCCAAAUGUCUCGUCAUCUAAUUAGCGACGCGCAUGAAUGGAUUAACGAGAUUCCCACUGUCCCUAUCUACUAUCCAGAGAAAUCAAAGCCAACGGAACGGGCUCGGCAGAAUUAGCGGGGAGAGAAGACCCUGUUGAGCUUGACUCUAGUCCGACUUUGUGAGGAGACAUGACGGGUGUAGAAUAAGUGGGAGCCAGGUCCUUCGGGGUUUGGCGUCAGUGGAAUACCCCCACCUUCAUUGUUUCUUUGCUUAUUCAGUAAAGCGGGGUGCCAAUUUUGGUCCCAACCACAUGCCGUCAUGCGCGGCUAUGCUGCGGGUGUCGGUAUCCUGGUAAUGUCAGAUGAGCCCUAGCUUCGGCUGCGAUGUUAGAGUUUGAAUGUGAUGUGCGACCCGUUCUGAAGACAGUGUCAGGCGGAGAGUUUGACUGAGGCGGUACAUCUGACAAAUGGGAACGCAGGUGUCCCAGGGUAAGCUCAGCCAGGACGGAAACCUGGCGUAGAGUAAAAGGGCAAAAGCUUAUUUGAUUUUGAUUUCCAGUGCAAAUGCAGACCGUGAAAGCGUGGCCUAUCGAUCCUUUUGAUUUUGAUAUUCGGAGUUUGAAGCAAGAGGUGUCAGAAAAGUUACCACAGGGAUAACUGGCUUGUGGCGGCCAAGAAUUCAUAGCGACGUCGCUUUUUGAUCCUUCGAUGUCAGCUCUCCCUAGCGUUGUGACGUAGAAUUCACCAAGCGUUGGAUUGAUCACCCACUAAUAGGGAACGUGGGCUGUGUUCAGACCGUCGUGAGACAGGUUAGUUUUACCCUACUAAUGAGUACAAUGAAACAGUGAAGUACAAACUGGCCGCUGCUGUGGUAAUUCUGUUUAGUACGAGGGGAACCGCAGGUUCAGACAUUUGGUAUAUGUGCCUGGCCGAAAGGCCAAUGGUGCGAAGCUACCAUCUGAGGGAUUAGGACUGAACGCCUCUAAGUCUGAAUCCCGUCCAGAUAUGCAACGGUACAUUCUGUGCCUGUCACGUGGCAAGGCAAGACUACGUAUUCCUUCCGGUGUUUGGACUGGACUAUGUAUCUGGCUAGGCCCGGUAGGUAUCGUGUAACGCCAGAGUGAUUGACCGAAUCUAUGCUCCGGAUUUUCGGGCGCAGGUGUCGACACGAUAUCCAAGUGUGGAAUGAGCGUGAAGGCAAUAAAUCGGUUGUAGACGACUUAAUGUUUUGUCGGGGAGACGUAAGUGUUCGAGCAGCUAUCACAGUGCGAGACAUUGAGUCAUAUCCUUAUCUGAUGUGAUGAUUUGAGAGCUCGACUGCCAUUCAUUUGCAAGGGGUCUGAAGGGUUUCGAGACUCUUGUGCAUGGUGAUUAUGCACUGCGACUAACAUUUGUGUCCGGGGUGUGACCAGCGUGUGCUCGUCUAUCCUUAUGGGUGGUGCGCGUGGGUCAUGUGCUGUAGGUUCUCAUCCUGUCGUCUGCGAUGAGCGGGUCUAAGGUGUGAUCAUCGGUUCAUGGUGAUACGCGAAUCAUUGCGUGAUCGUGAUAUUCGAACGUAUUUCUUACAAUUCAUGUUCUGCGAAUCAUAUUGUGAUCUUCCAAUGUAGAAGGAUAUUACAAAGGUCGAGAAAAAUCAAGUUGGAUUAAAGUAUACCCUUUUCGUCUGGAAGUCCGUUGGAUCAAGAUUACAGUAUUCCUCCAUCCCCGCGAGAAAGCCCAUCUACUCAAUAUUACAGGAUAACCACUUCGUCUGAAAGUUCGUCUGACCAAUAUUACAGUAUACCCCUCCGUCUGAAAGUCUGUCUGACCAAGAUUGCAGUAUACCUCUUCCGUCGACUUUUCGUCAAGAUAACAUUGUAGUCGCUGUUUUCUCGGUGUUUCGUGGACUUUUCUUCAACAUAACAUGAUAAUGGCUGUUUUUUACGGUUUUCGGUGCGGCGUGACGCUACAAUGGUCUAGUCUCCUCUUUUUCUCUCCUUUUCUCCCCCUUCUCGUGCCUCCACUGACUUGUCCCAAUGAUUUAUCACAAGAACAAAUAUCGUUUCAGACACCCAAAAUGGACAUAGGCCAUACGAUCAUUUCUUUCUUGCUGCAAGGAAUCCUACGGUGUCAACAGUUUUUCCAUCGGAUAAAUAUUUUCGGCUUUGCCAGCUUUAGUCCAAUUUGGGUUUUUUAUAAAUAAUUCGGAAACCACGCCCGCCGAACACUUUCCAAGUUGGUAGAGGUUUUAUAUACUAUUCGAAAGCCCGUUUGAAGCUCUAUUCUUUGGUGAUCAACUUUCUGCUCAACUCUGCGUCACUUGCAUACUACGGUCGUUUUUUUCCUACAGUUUUUGAGUAAUUUCUUAGUGUCAAGGCUAGUCCUACGCGUGCAUUUUCCCCCUGUUAGGCAUUUGUCAAACAUUUGCUAUAAGUUUUACUCAGUUUUCGAAACUCUUUCGAGUGAUAUUCGAACUGUCUAGUUAUCAUAGAUUAUUAAUAUUUCAUAGUUACCAUAUUAUAGUCUAAAAUUACUGAAUUAUUAUUAAUACUAUAUCUCAUAUUGU
rnacentral:rRNA from 1 species